ensembl:misc_RNA Metazoa_SRP Metazoan signal recognition particle RNA
GCCGGGCGCGGUGGCGCGCGCCUGUAAUCCCAGCUACUCGGGAGGCUGAGGCUGGAGGAUCGCUUGAGCUCAGGAGUUCUCGGCUGCAGUGCGCUAUGCCGAUCGGGUGUCCGCACUAAGUUCGGCAUCAAUAUGGUGACCUCCCAGGAGCGGGGGACCACCAGGUUGCCUAAGGAGGGGUGAACUGGCCCAGGUCGGAAACGGAGCAGGUCAAAACUCCCGUGCUGAUCAGUAGUGGGAUCGCGCCUGUGAAUAGCCACUGUACUCCAGCCUGGGCAACAUAGCGAGACCCUGUCUCUU